rnacentral:rRNA from 1 species
AACGAACGCUGGCGGCGUGUUUAAGACAUGCAAGUCGAACGGGUUGAAGUUGUAGCAAUACCGCUUCAACCAGUGGCGCACGGGUGCGUAACACGUGAGUUACAUGCCCUGCAGUGGGGAAUAGCCCGCCGAAAGGCGGAUUAAUACCCCAUGGUCCCGCAAGGGUAAAGGUGGCGCAAGCUGCCGCUGCAGGAUUGGCUCGCGGCCCAUCAGCUAGUUGGCGAGGUAACGGCUCACCAAGGCGACGACGGGUACCUGGUCUGAGAGGAUGAGCAGGCACACUGGAACUGAGAAACGGUCCAGACACCUACGGGUGGCAGCAGUCGAGAAUAAUUCACAAUGGGGGAAACCCUGAUGGUGCAACGCCGCGUGGAGGAUGAAGGUCUUCGGAUUGUAAACUCCCGUCAUCGGGGAGUAAGACCUGGGCGUGAAUAGCGCACAGGGUUGAUAGUACCCGAAGAGGAAGGGACGGCUAACUUCGUGCCAGCAGCCGCGGUAACAC